UACGGAGGGUGCGAGCGUUGUCCGGAAUCAUUGGGCGUAAAGGGCGCGUAGGUGGCGGCUUAAGAGUGCGGUGAAAGCUCGGGGCUCAACCCCGAGUCGGCCGUGCGAACUGAGUCGCUUGAGCACUGUAGAGGCAGGCGGAAUUCCGGGUGUAGCGGUGGAAUGCGUAGAGAUCCGGAAGAACACCGGUGGCGAAGGCGGCCUGCUGGGCAGUAGCUGACACUGAGGCGCGACAGCGUGGGGAGCAAACAGG
rnacentral:rRNA from 1 species